rnacentral:sRNA from 10 species
AAAGUUGGACUGGGAGACAAAAUAUUCCCAACAGGACGAGGGAACGUCACAAUUACCCUCGAGCGUUAAGGACUGUGAUUGUAUCUGCACCUUAUCGUUACCGUAGUU